rnacentral:rRNA from 1 species
UACGGAGGGUGCAAGCGUUAUCCGGAUUUACUGGGUUUAAAGGGUGCGUAGGUGGGUUUGUAAGUCAGUGGUGAAAUCUCCAAGCUUAACUUGGAACUGCCGUUGAUACUAUAAAUCUUGAAUGUUGUGGAGGUGAGCGGAAUAUGUCAUGUAGCGGUGAAAUGCUUCGAUAUGAACAUAGAACACCAAUUGCGAAGGCAGCUCACUACACAAAGAUUGGACACUGAGGCACGAAAGCGUGGGGAUCAAACAGG